rnacentral:rRNA from 1 species
UACGUAGGGUGCAAGCGUUAAUCGGAAUUACUGGGCGUAAAGCGCGUGUAGGCGGCUUGGCAAGUCGGAUGUGAAAGCCCACGGCUCAACCGUGGAAGCGCAUCCGAAACUGCUUCGCUCGAGUCUCGGAGAGGAAGGUGGAAUGCUUGGUGUAGAGGUGAAAUUCGUAGAUAUCAAGCAGAACACCUGCGGCGAAGGCGGCCUUCUGGACGAUGACUGACGCUGAGACGCGAAAGCGUGGGGAGCAAACAGG